UGGUAAUGCCGGAUGCUCCGGUUGGAUGCAUGUCCUUCCGGGAAAGAUUCCAUCGGUAUGGGAUGGGGUCGCGUCCUAUCAGCUUGAUGGCGGGGUAACGGCCCACCAUGGCUUCGACGGGUAGCCGGCCUGAGAGGGCGACCGGCCACAUUGGGACUGAGAUACGGCCCAGACUCCUACGGGAGGCAGCAGUGGGGAAUAUUGCACAAUGGGCGCAAGCCUGAUGCAGCGACGCCGCGUGCGGGAUGAAGGCCUUCGGGUUGUAAACCGCUUUUGAUCGGGAGCAAGCCCUUCGGGGUGAGUGUACCCUUCGAAUAAGCACCGGCUAACUACGUGCCAGCAGCCGCGGUAAUACGUAGGGUGCAAGCGUUAUCCGGAAUUAUUGGGCGUAAAGGGCUCGUAGGCGGUUCGUCGCGUCCGGUGUGAAAGCCCAUCGCUUAACGGUGGGUCUGCGCCGGGUACGGGCGGGCUGGAGUGCGGUAGGGGAGACUGGAAUUCCCGGUGUAACGGUGGAAUGUGUAGAUAUCGGGAAAGAACACCA
rnacentral:rRNA from 1 species